rnacentral:ncRNA from 1 species
GGGAAAGCUUAGAGCCCCACGGAUGGCGUGUUAAUAGUUGUGGUCUUGGCCGGGCCCAAUGGUUAGUGAAUC